CCUUUUUUCACUCACUUCAUUCACAACACUGUCUCUUUUACUCCUGUAUCUCUCCAUUCACAGCUCUCUCCCUCACUGCCGCUCUCGUGCUCUCUCAGCUCUGCCUCGUGCUCCAUCCUCAGCGCUGUCUUCUCUCUAUCGUGCUUAAUAGGGAUUCUUCAUAUCGGGGUUGGAUUCAAGGAUUUGUGUGCAGGAAGCCGGUGUUUAAACUUAAGUGAGAAAGAGUUAACAACACUUUGGUGGAUUUGGGAAUAUCUUUAGUGUAAACUUAGUGGAGAUUUCGGUGCUUCAAAUUCAGAUUUUCUAUUGAUGCUCUUUAUGAGUAUAGAUUUCUGACAUAUUUAAAUCAUGGAGAAUAUUGAAGGAUAUGGAGAUGGAAUGUAUUGAUCGUAUCACCGAGAAUAAUUUUGUAGAAUUGAUUAUAUGAAUACUUGCAGCCCUGGAGAUUGAUAAAUUUUAUGAUGGUGAUGAUGCUAUCUUGCAUCCAAUUGAAAGUCUACCACCUUUCUGCUUCUCGGUUUCUUGAUUCCUUAUGGAUUUCCAAGUCUUCGGCUUCUUUUCAAGUGCUUCCUCGAUUUGGGUUUUCGAUUUGGAGCUUGUUCAGUGAAUUAUGGCUUCGAUUUGUGGCUAUAUUAUUAUGUAAGUUAGAGAUUUGGAUUUGGGGCUUGUUGAUACUCACUAAUUAUGAUAGGAGAAUCCUCUUAUAAGGAUAUAUGCCUAUGCAAAGAAUCUUAUACUUGGUUUCAAGUCCGUGACCCUGCAUGACAAAGGCAAUGGUGAAUUGUUGGAUUUGUCUAGCAACUUUAUAUUCACAUAGAAUGAUGUUGGUAAGAGUAGGGCACUUGUUUAUGUUCAACAGCAAGCUGCAAGAGCUUAACAAUGCUGUCGUUGUUACCAGUUUGACCUUUAAAUUUACUAAGGAGCAACUCUCUGGCUUUGAGGUAGCUCCAUUCUGUUAAAACCUGGCUCUGAUACCAAUUGUUAUUUUACACCAACUAUGAGAAAGAUUGUAGAAGGGGGGGUUGAAUACAAUCUUUUAAAAAUUAAAAGAUUCAAGAACAAGAACACUUAAAACAAUAAAACAGAAAAACACCAAGUAUUAAAAAUACGGGUGGAUUGAAUGAUCCACUUGUGAGAUUUUAUAUUGAAGAAUCUGUGGAUUGAUUACAAUUCGCACAGGUACAGGUUCAUCACUUGAAUAGUUUCUAACUCUCAGAUUUUCUCUCAAGUAUUCGAACACAUUCAACUGAUGCUACUAACUUGGUUAUAUACUCCAAGUUUUACAAAGCUUUUAACUAGAAUACAAAUUAUGCACUCUAAUCUAAGCUAUGCUGCACAUCUUUGUCUUAUGCAUGCUUUCUGUGUUGUCUUCAUCUUUGACCAUAAUCUUGAUAUGAUCCAUAUUGCAUUGCAUGAGAUAAGAAUGUUUCUGGUUCUUCUUUAUUGUCCUAAUCAGGCUUCCAUGUCUAUUUUAGUGUAAUUCGAUCCAUGUGAUUUGUCAGAUUUAAACUCUAGUCAUUUUCAACUGCUAUUUGCUUCAUCAAUUGAAUGUACCUUCAUCAGUUGAACGAAUUACAGACUUCAUCAGUUGAAUGUUGUUCCAGUCUCAUCAGUUGAAUUCCUUAGCUUCAUCAGUUGAACACUUUGUCUUUAGUUGAAUGCUUAGUUUUCAUCAGUUGAAACAUGAUCCGGUCUUCAUCAGUUGAAUAUUUACAUCUCAUCAGUUGAAUAUCCUUCACUUAGAUAAAAUUACAUGGCAUUGAAUAUUUACAAUUAGCCAUCCUAUUCUACCCAUCCGUUGAUACUUCUCAAGGACAAGAAAUAUAACAAUUACAACUGAAAUUUUGAUAAAGAUUCUAAAUAAAACAUGUUACAGAGUGUUUAUGUUAUCAUCAAAAUUAUUGAUUCUUAACAUCCUAACUUUUCUUAUCCAGUUGGCUUUAAAAGUCAUUCCUAUU